rnacentral:rRNA from 1 species
AGCUAAUACCGCAUAACGUCGCAAGACCAAAGAGGGGGACCUUCGGGCCUCUUGCCAUCGGAUGUGCCCAGAUGGGAUUAGCUAGUAGGUGGGGUAACGGCUCACCUAGGCGACGAUCCCUAGCUGGUCUGAGAGGAUGACCAGCCACACUGGAACUGAGACACGGUCCAGACUCCUACGGGAGGCAGCAGUGGGGAAUAUUGCACAAUGGGCGCAAGCCUGAUGCAGCCAUGCCGCGUGUAUGAAGAAGGCCUUCGGGUUGUAAAGUACUUUCAGCGAGGAGGAAGGCGUUGUGGUUAAUAACCGCAGCAAUUGACGUUACUCGCAGAAGAAGCACCGGCUAACUCCGUGCCAGCAGCCGCGGUAAUACGGAGGGUGCAAGCGUUAAUCGGAAUUACUGGGCGUAAAGCGCACGCAGGCGGUCUGUCAAGUCGGAUGUGAAAUCCCCGGGCUCAACCUGGGAACUGCAUCCGAAACUGGCAGGCUAGAGUACUAAUUGG